CCGACGGUGAGGGGUGAAAGCUGGGGGAGCAAACCGGAUUAGAUACCCGGGUAGUCCCAGCCGUAAACGAUGUGCGUUAGGUGUAUCGGUGACCACGAGUCACCGAGGUGCCGAAGAGAAAUCGUGAAACGUACCGCCUGGGAAGUACGGUCGCAAGGCUGAAACUUAAAGGAAUUGGCGGGGGAGCACCACAACAAGUGGAGCCUGCGGUUUAAUCGGACUCAACGCCGGGAAACUCACCAGAUAAGACAGCUGAAUGAUAGUCGGGCUGAAGACUCUACUUGACUAGCUGAGAGGAGGUGCAUGGCCGUCGUCAGUUCGUACUGUGAAGCAUCCUGUUAAGUCAGGCAACGAGCGAGACCCACGCCAACAGUUGCU
rnacentral:rRNA from 1 species